rnacentral:rRNA from 1 species
AUUGAACGCUGGCGGCAUGCCUUACACAUGCAAGUCGAACGGCAGCACGGGUGCUUGCACCUGGUGGCGAGUGGCGAACGGGUGAGUAAUACAUCGGAACAUGUCCUGUAGUGGGGGAUAGCCCGGCGAAAGCCGGAUUAAUACCGCAUACGAUCUACGGAUGAAAGCGGGGGACCUUCGGGCCUCGCGCUAUAGGGUUGGCCGAUGGCUGAUUAGCUAGUUGGUGGGGUAAAGGCCUACCAAGGCGACGAUCAGUAGCUGGUCUGAGAGGACGACCAGCCACACUGGGACUGAGACACGGCCCAGACUCCUACGGGAGGCAGCAGUGGGGAAUGUUGGACAAUGGGCGAAAGCCUGAUCCAGCAAUGCCGCGUGUGUGAAGAAGGCCUUCGGGUUGUAAAGCACUUUUGUCCGGAAAGAAAUCCUUGGCCCUAAUACGGUCGGGGGAUGACGGUACCGGAAGAAUAAGCACCGGCUAACUACGUG